rnacentral:rRNA from 1 species
AUUGAACGCUGGCGGCAGGCUUAACACAUGCAAGUCGAGCGGGGUGAGGUGCUUCGGUACUGAUCCUAGCGGCGGACGGGUGAGUAAUGCUUAGGAAUCUGCCUAUUAGUGGGGGACAACAUUCCGAAAGGAAUGCUAAUACCGCAUACGCCCUACGGGGGAAAGCAGGGGAUCUUCGGACCUUGCGCUAAUAGAUGAGCCUAAGUCGGAUUAGCUAGUUGGUGGGGUAAAGGCCUACCAAGGCGACGAUCUGUAGCGGGUCUGAGAGGAUGAUCCGCCACACUGGGACUGAGACACGGCCCAGACUCCUACGGGAGGCAGCAGUGGGGAAUAUUGGACAAUGGGCGGAAGCCUGAUCCAGCCAUGCCGCGUGUGUGAAGAAGGCCUUUUGGUUGUAAAGCACUUUAAGCGAGGAGGAGGCUACCUGGAUUAAUACUCUGGGAUAGUGGACGUUACUCGCAGAAUAAGCACCGGCUAACUCUGUGCCAGCCGCCGCAGUAAUAC